AUUGGAAUUUGAUCCUUGUGUUUCUACUAUGAUUUGACCCUCUGCAUGAGUUUGAUUUGGUUUGGUUGGAAAAACUCUCAUGAAUAGCAGUGCACUAAUUAAACUUCACAUACCCUUGACUCCUGGAGUUAUGUUUUUGAUACUAAUUUACUUCACAUACCCUUGACUCCUGGAGUUAUGUUUUUGAUACUAAUUUACUUCACAUACCCUUGACUCCUUAUUCACAAAGCUUAUCUCUCUCAUUCUCUGUCUUUCGUUUCUCUAGAAUCAUCUCUGUGCUUCAUGGUCUUUUCUCACAGUUUUGCCUCAUGCAUCUCACAGCUUCCACGAUCCAAAGCACAAUGGAAGCCAAGUGAAUUAGUCUCGAACUUGUGAUGUGAGUCAAUUUUUGUUUGUUGUUAUCUUCUGUUUUUGGAGACGCCUUUUAACCCUAAGCUACAGAUGUCGGUCUUUUUUCUCGGUUUCGCCUCACGUACUUGGAUUGUUUCCACCGUUUCACUUCGAUUGGUUGACGAGAAAGUGAAGGAUUUGGGGAGAAAUUUGAAAUUCAUUGGAAACAAUCAAAGGUAUGCUUCUGUAAAAACUUUCCCUCAAUUCCCUCUGUUCAGCAAAGACAGAAGAACCAAUAACUUUCUCUCAAUUUCAUCCCCAAUUUCCAUUAUGUCAAUGGUGAUGGUUGUUUCUUUGCUGAAGAGUAAGAUUUGGGUUUUGUCGUAUAAAUAUAUUGUUUGAGAAAAAUAGUAAGCAAAAGAAGAAGAAGAAGAAGAAGUUAAGGGAAGACGGAGAAGUCUAUUAGAAAAUUAGAAGGGAGGAAAAGAUACAAAUGAAUCAGAAGAGGAGUAAGGGGGCGUUAAGAUUUGAAAAGAAAGAUGGAGAGAAAGAAAAAAGGAAAAUAAGUUAAGGAAACAACAAGAAAGAGAAGACAUAUAAGUUACGGGAAGGGAGCGAGGGGGACCGUAGGACACAUCCUGGUGUCGUUAGCUAUCCCGUCAGUCAAUAGCUGCUAUCCAUGGUGCUGUACUUGCUUUGGCAGCCUCUUUACUAUCAGUCCCUUAUGAUAUGCCCAGGUGAGUCCAAGACAAGAUGUGUAGAUCUCACCAAAAGGACUUGGAAAAGAAACCACUCGCAUCCUUAUGGCCAACUGGAAUUCAGUUGAGGAGAGGACAUAAUUGUGUAUGGAGUCCUAUGUUCUGAAACAAUGCUGGAAAAAGAAGUUCAAAAUGCCAGGAAACAGAAUGUAGCCUGGAUGAAAAGCCGUCACAUAAUCAAGCACCAAGUUGAAAGGAUAUGGGACUUCACAGCCAACAAUUGUAGAAUCCAAUGAUGUACUCAUUGUUAAUGAAAAGGUCCAAAAUGCCAGGAAAUGGAAUGCGGCCUAUUGUCUGAGUAUGAAAAGUCCUGUCGUAAGAUCAUCAAGGGCCAAGUUGCAAGGAUAUGGGACUCCUCAGCCAAAAAUUGUAGAAUCAGCUAUGGAGGCAACCAUUACUUCUUAUGGUUGUAGAAUCAGCUAUGGAGGCAACCAUUACUUAUGGGGAAAGGAGAGAUACUUAUUAUGGAAAUCAGUUGUCUGUAAAUUUCAAAAAAGAACUUAUAAAUGUUUAUAUAUACUUGGUUUCACUUGCAAUCAAGUGUCCAAAGUUAUGAAGAAAAAUCAAGUGUUUAUAGUGACUAGCCUUAAUGCGUAUAUUCUUAUUUCUUCAGCGCAUUGAGCUGCACCAUCGGCGCAGCAAGAUGCUAGUCUUAUUGAUAUUGCUAGUUGGCCUUAAUCCGGAAAUUUGAGACAUGCAGGUGUAUCUGAUGGCUAGCACUGCAAAGUUAGGUCGGCAGGGGAAGGUUCAAGAUGGACUUAGACUUAGCUAUGCUGGGGAUUCAAUUUGCAAGGCUGGGAACUUUGCUUUGGGAACGGGUUCCAAUCGGGAGUUAUCUAUGGACUUCUCGAAUGGGCAACCAAAUUACAUAUUCCUUUCCGACGGCAUGCUGCGAGAAAUGCCUUGGCAAGGUGCUGGUGUUGCCCUUCCCAUGUUUUCCUUAAGGUCAGAAACUGACCUAGGAGUUAAGGAAUUUCUUGAUAAAACUACUUGUCAAUUGGUCUGUGAAGUCUUGGGUUAGUUUAGCUUCUACCAAUAAAUGACACAUCUGUGCAUGGGAUGUGGUGGGAUUCCCAUCCCUACAGAAAGAGAUUCAUGAGGCUAAAGAGCGACUGCAUGGAAAGGGUGUUGAUUACGAGGCUACUUUGGCUACUCAACUUUCAAUUGCCAAGAAAAUUUUUGCCUGUGAAAAGGAUCUAAUACUGAACCUGAGUUCCUUCCAGAAAUAUUUUUCUGAGAAUGAGUUUGAGGAAGACUGCAACACAGAAGAAAAAUUGCUUCCAAGCUGAAUUCAUUUGCGAAAAGAUCUUUGUUGUUUGAGAAGGAAGGAAAGAUACGGAGUGAUCUUUUUGAUCUUCUAAAGCAAAAAUGUUCUAAAAAGGCUAUAUUAUGACUACUAUUUUCAACGGCAAGAAGAUACGUGGAGGAAAAAUGCUUUAGAAACACUACCCGUUCUCCUAAAUUCAUCCAACAUGCUAGCGUGUGGGGAAGAUCUGGGCCUUAUCCCUGCUUGUGUUCAUCCUGUUAUGCAAGAAUUAGGAUUAAUAGGUUUGCGCAUUCAGCGUAUGCCAAGUGAACCUGGUCUGGAGUUUGGUAUUCCAUCCCAAUACAGCUAUAUGACGGUAAAGGGUGGGGUCAUAUAGUUCUGUCUGUGUGUGCACCAUCAUGCCACGACUGCUCCACGAUGCGUGCUGGUGGGAGGAAGAAGAAGAAAGAAGACGUCGAUUUUUUAAAGCUGUGGUUGGGUGACUUGGGUCUGAUGCAUUGCCUCCUGGUUAAUGUGUUCCAGAGAUUGCGUACUAUAUCAUAAGGAAGCAUUUUUAGGCUCCAUGAAUGUGGGCAAUUUUCCCUCUUCAGCUAUUUCAUUGAAACAUUGGAUAGCCAAAUUCAUCUUGAAUGCGAGGACACUUGAAAAAAAGAAGAACGAAGCAAAUAGCGCCAUGUUUAGCAUUUUCCAUGCAUAAUGGUUUUUACACUUGAUGUAACUGCUCAUACAUUUAGAUUUUAAUCGAUGAUCAGGAUAUGCUGGCACUGAAACAAGAGCACACGACACGCACUGCUGCGGAGGAGACAAUUCUUGUGAGAUGAUCAGGAUAUGCUGGCACUGAAACAAGAGCACACGACACGCACUGCUGCGGAGGAGACAAUUCUUAGAAUUGUCGCGAUUUAUGAGCGGAAGAGCCAGGGAUUGAUAGGUGAUGGUGGAUUAAAAUGGGUACAAUUGGCAUUCCUUUUACAUUGCAAGCGAAAACGAAAGAAAAUGAGCCCGGCACUUAACUUUUGCCAACUGAUUGCCAUUUGCCACUAUUGUGUUAGAAUGUCCAUCACUUUUUCCUUUUGUUUUUUUUGCAUAUAUUUGUAUUUGUAGUGCUUUUUUAAAAGUUGGUAGAGGCAUUCAUUAGUGGAAACAAAGUCUUUAGGUUUGUGGAACAAUUUUAUGACAUGCAGUCGCUUUUCGGCUUUUCCAACUAAAAAUUUUAACUCACACUUGUAUCUA